rnacentral:lncRNA from 1 species
GGGACUUGCAUACAUAAGUAACUUUAUACACCUGGUAUGAACCAAACAUAUUUAAUUAUAUAUAUAUUUUUCUUAAUUUUUCUAUAUGUAUAUAUGUAAAUGAAGGAUUACAGAUACAAAUGUGUUCCAUCCUUAAUCAGAAAGGAAUAUUAGGAGUUCUGUUACAAAAUGGUGUCUUGAGACCAUCAUUAGUUAUUAUUAAUUUUCCUCUUCAGGAGCAGAACAUGCCAGGUGAUGUGGGGUUUCUGAUGCUAGCAUAUUGUGCCACUGCAUACCAGCCAGCUGAGUACCUUCUAUAGAAUAAGAUUCAUGUCCCCAGCAAGCAUGCACACUGGUUUGGGCUACAUCAGCACCAAGACAGUCCCUUGGUAAUUUUCUGUUGUGCCAAGGCUACUAACAGGUAUGAACUGCACCAUGCUUGAGCAGGUCCUCCUCAACAC